AUUUAAAAUUAUAUUUAAUAUCAUCCUUAGAAUCUUAAUUUCUAUACACAAAUAAUGCUUUUAAA
rnacentral:tRNA from 1 species